rnacentral:rRNA from 1 species
GAACGGGUGAGUAACACGUGGGCAAUCUGCCCUUCACUCUGGGACAAGCCCUGGAAACGGGGUCUAAUACCGGAUACGAGUUCGGGAGGCAUCUCCCGGACUGGAAAGCUCCGGCGGUGAAGGAUGAGCCCGCGGCCUAUCAGCUUGUUGGUGGGGUAAUGGCCUACCAAGGCGACGACGGGUAGCCGGCCUGAGAGGGCGACCGGCCACACUGGGACUGAGACACGGCCCAGACUCCUACGGGAGGCAGCAGUGGGGAAUAUUGCACAAUGGGCGAAAGCCUGAUGCAGCGACGCCGCGUGAGGGAUGACGGCCUUCGGGUUGUAAACCUCUUUCAGCAGGGAAGAAGCGAGAGUGACGGUACCUGCAGAAGAAGCGCCGGCUAACUACGUGCCAGCAGCCGCGGUAAUACGUAGGGCGCAAGCGUUGUCCGGAAUUAU